rnacentral:rRNA from 1 species
AUUGAACGCUGGCGGUAGGCCUAACACAUGCAAGUCGAACGGCAGCACAGUAAGAGCUUGCUCUUACGGGUGGCGAGUGGCGGACGGUUGAGGAAUACAUCGGAAUCUACUUUUUCGUGGGGGAUAACGUAGGGAAACUUACGCUAAUACCGCAUACGACCUACGGGUGAAAUCAGGGGAUCUUCGGACCUUGCGCGAUUGAAUGAGCCGAUGUCGGAUUAGCUAGUUGGCGGGGUAAAGGCCCACCAAGGCGACGAUCCGUAGCUGGUCUGAGAGGAUGAUCAGCCACACUGGAACUGAGACACGGUCCAGACUCCUACGGGAGGCAGCAGUGGGGAAUAUUGGACAAUGGGCGCAAGCCUGAUCCAGCCAUACCGCGUGGGUGAAGAAGGCCUUCGGGUUGUAAAGCCCUUUUGUUGGGAAAGAAAAGCAGCAGGUUAAUACACCGCUGUUCUGGCGGUACCCAAAGAAUAAGCACCGGCUAACUUCGUG